UGGUUUUAUUGGUUGUCUCGUCGCUCCGGGAUGCGGCAUCACAGGGGCGUAACAUUUCCUCAUCACGCUUGAGGCAUUCGGCCAAUCACAACGCACUUAAUAGCUGGCCAAUCAGAACACACCUCACUUUUCAGAACGAUGAGUUUUGUUUCAGAAGGCGGGACAUAGAGGAGAAACAAUAAUGUACAUGUAACCAAGGUUACCAGUGAGUAACAGAAAAAAUAUUGUUAUUAAUAUAACAAUAUAAUAAUGGGAGAGUUAUUAAAAAGUAUUCAAAAUUAGUAAUUUUAUAAAAGAAAAAUAUUACUUUCAUAUACAAAUAUACAAACGUAUAUUUUCAUUUGGGUAAUACUAUGACCAAUGGUGAUGAGUUUUGAACUUGAGACGAGCCAAUACGAGCGCAGAAUCUGGCGCCGCGGAAGAAUUGAUUUCCGGGUUUUGCACGCGGUAUAUGCGUGAAGUUAAGAGGCAACUCUCUCUCGCAUGCACGGAUGCCUAAUGAGCGCUGUGUCUCGAUGCUCCGGGAAACAGAAAUAUAGAAAAUAGCCUUCUAGAUGAGUUUGGUCGAUGGAUUGAUGGUAAAGGGAGCGAUUGUAAUGGGGCGUGCUGUGCCUGCACCAUUCUGGAAUUUUCUGAGUUAAACGAUCUCCUUGGUCAGGUUUUUUUUUUUUCUUCUGUUGUUCUGUCUUUUCCAAAUUCGCUGUGUAUACUGGAUCUGUCCUGGCCUUCCAGUGGUUCUGAGGAGGGUUUGGACUGGCGAGCCUCCCUUGAGUUUGUUCUUGGAUCUUUCUGUUGAAGAAGUAUUCGCACUGAUUGAACUGCGAAUGACUGGAGGUCAGCUGGACCUACCGGUGGUGCUCUGUCGAUGGAGUGCUGUCCCAACCCAAACUAGUCAUCCUGGACAAUACUGUACACAUCUGUUCUGGUGGUUUUUGUUCUUUCUUCAGCAUUUAUGUCAUGACUAGAUCUCUGGAAGUGUGCUGGUGGAUCUACCUGUGCCCAAAUUCCUGGCUGGAGUCUCCAGUGCACGGGGUGGCGCUGUUGCACCCAUGACAGACACUAUUGAAAAGAUAAUUGAGGCUCAAUUCCUGUUCCUAAAGUAUGCAAGAUCUGGAUUGGUGCAUCCCAAAUCAUAAAUCAGUGUUAGUUGGCAAUACCGAACCCUAAUAUACAUUUGACACAAAUUAAUGACAAGGUAGUGUUCUUUUGUUGUCAUAUUGUCCAAGUACAUACAUGUAAGUACUUAUAAUGCAAAGAUUUUUAUUAUAUAUAAGAAUAAUAAUGAUAAGAUGGUUCAGGGUCAGUUUAAAACUGCUAAUUUAUCAGAAAUUGAUUGAAAAGUCAUUACUCGUUACAAGAUCUUAAGGAAGCACUAUUAAUUAGUUCAGACUUGAGAUUUCCAAAUCAAAUUUCUUCUAGUUUUGCAGUUUGAUUUGUAAUGUUACACUCUGAAAUGAAAGUUCUUCUUUUUUCGUUCUUUUUUAUCUGAGUAAACAGUUCUUUUCCAUAUUGAGUUUAAGUAUUUACUGUCACCUGUAACAUUCAGUCCCUGUGGUUAUUUUGCACCAUGUCAUUGUUUGGAGGAUAAAGAUGGGUUUGUUGGCCCCAUUGUCCUGGAUGUCCACCAUCUCAUAUGCUUGGCUGAUUAUCCGGGUUAUCCGCUGGAUGACUGUGGACUGGAGUGCACUCCCAUUAAACAUAUUUGCAAGUAUUUGCAUUUUAACAAAACCAAACCACUGAAGUAUACAGAGAUCACUUUAUGCUUACUGUAAGUCUGUUUAAAGAGUAGCUGCAAACAUUUGAGCUGCCAGAGCCACACUUAAAGAUAAAAAAAAUAAAUAAAAAAAAAAAACUCUUGAAAAACUGCUU
ensembl:lncRNA